AAAUUGAAGAGUUUGAUCAUGGCUCAGAUUGAACGCUGGCGGCAGGCCUAACACAUGCAAGUCGAACGGUAACAGGAAGCAGCUUGCUGCUUCGCUGACGAGUGGCGGACGGGUGAGUAAUGUCUGGGAAACUGCCUGAUGGAGAGGGAUAACUACUGGAAACGGUGGCUAAUACCGCAUAACGUCGCAAGACCAAAGA
rnacentral:rRNA from 1 species